UAAAAAAGAAAAAAGAAAAAAAAGUACAACCUAAACACGUCAACGUACCUAAUCCUGUCGAAAAUCACUGGAUUUUUUAUGUUAUUACAACGUUUUAUGCCGAGCGUUCUAUCGACUUUCUUGCUCUCCUUAUAGUCUUGAUUUUUCUCCAUUAUUUUUUAUUCUUUAAAACGUCUCAUUAAUUAAUUAAUUAUUAAAGCGACUCUCGUUCUAACUCACCAACGAACAUAUUCUAUCUGUCUUGUUUGUUCAAUAUAGUUACCACGUUAGGCGUUGCCAACGUAGAAUUUGUCACGAGAUUUAAAUCCUAUUCUUAAUAUUUUAUACCAGGUCGAGUAAUCGAUGAAAAAAAGAAAAAGGAGACAUUUUUAUAUUCUCCUUUCACAAAGAAAAUAUCUUUUUUCUCUCUGGGAAGCACGAAGACAUCAGUUGUUUACAUCGAAUAUCGACCAAUAGCGAGAGCUAAAUAUAGAUGAAUCACAAGCCAUGUUCCUUAAGAAAAGCCGAAGGCUAAGGGAUACCGCGGACUCGUAAAUCGAGAAAGCGUUUAAUCUUCGCCGCGGUUGUAACCCGUUGAUAGCAGCGAGGCGAGCGAGGGCGUAGACUUGGCUUAAGCCUCUAGGAAAUAAUCAAAGCGGCGAUAUAAGCACCGACUAAGCUGGGUAUGUGUAUGUGUUGGAAGUUACGAGACUCGGUGUUAUAUCGGUGCGACUUCAUCGUGUAACACACGAAGGAAGCACGAGGAAGGUCGCAAAGGAGGAGAAGGAGACGUCGAUAGAGUUCUCUCUCUCUCUCUCUCUAUCUCUUUCUCACGACGAACAUAAAUGGUGAGAGGAAGAGAGAGGAAGAGGAGAAGUGGAUCUGCAGAGUGCAAUGCGCCGAGAUUACGACUAAUCUGCGCCCGAGACCGCUCGGAAGCGUAGUUUCUGUAAGUUACAUUGCUUAAAGCGUCAGCUCGUUGAACCCCUCGAACUUCGACGACGGCUACAACCUCCGAGCUUCCUCCUUUAACUCUUCUCUUCUUAGUAGCCUCCGGUAUUCGAUGGAAUAAUAACAGGAGAAUCCGAUCCAACGACUUGGGAGACUCGUUACCGCAGGAAUUAUACGAUGUUGGGUCCGUAGGGAUAAAAGCUAAUAAUAGUAUAAAAGGGACUCAAAUGCAUAUGUAGAACCAGUAACUUUUCUUAUAAAGAUCAAAUACAAUUUUCGGAUAUUGGAUGGAUGGAAAGAAAAGCCUCCCUUUCCUGUCGCUUCUCCUCUGAUCGGAUCUUUGUAUGCAGCCAUCUUCGUGUAAUGAGUCCCGAGGUAAUCGAUAUUAUUUGUGAAUUAAUAUCCAUGUAAAUAUUCGUCUAAUUAUUAUCCUUAUUUAAUAUUACAUCUCUCUUUCAUUUUCUUAAAAAAUUCUACAAGAUUUUCACUCGAAGCAACCUUGAUAUUCUUCGCAUGCGGCACGAUCAAGGCUAUUUGGUCUUAAGGCCCUCCGAGCAGUUUCAGAAAGACAGAAAGGGGAAGAGAGACGAUGCACGCUGAGUCGAUGGCCAAGCACGAUGGCCAAGCACGAUGCCCUUAAGUUGCCUCCUUCUUUGCCUCUUCCUUCUCCUUCUCUUUCUUCUACGUAAGUACGUUCAUACGAAUGGAUGGACGAAGGAACAGUGACUGUGACUGACAGAGUUGAACGCGCGAGCGCAUUCGGCCACGGACGGAAAAAGAAUGAGUCGAGCACGCGAGCCCGAGUCGAAUGGCUUCGUUGAAUGGGUUUAAACGGGCGCGUCGCGUCCCGUGAGAAAUGAAAAUCACCGACGGUGACGAGGCUCGUGUCUCGCUUUCAGCCGCUCGCAUAUUACCCGGGUAUCCGCUUUAUUAUUUAUGAAAUAUGGCCAGCUAUAUGAGAGAGUGAGAAAGAAGAAGAUAAACGUACGUGGUUGUACGAUGAGGAACUAGUCGUUGUCGACUGAACGACUUUGGUAAAACCGGAGAAGAAAGAGGAGGAAGAUAAAUAGGAGAGACCGUGCUUGAAAAAGAGCUAAAUUUGCCGAUUCUUUUAUUUACUUAUUUAUUUAUUAUUAUUAUUAUUUUUUUUUUCUAUUUUUUCUAUAUAUCUUUCAACUCAGAUCAUUUUUCCUUUCUAAUGAAAAAUAAUUCUAAACAGCAGGUCAACGAGAUAGAACAAUCGAAGAAAAUGAAAUGCCAAUUUCAGGAAAGUAGAGGAAGAAUUCACAUUAGGAAGGAGCAUACCUUACAUAUUUAAAGGUAACAUUAAGCUACUUCACAGAACAACGAGUCGAGUUCGAUUCUUCGUGUCACGAUCAAAGUUCAAGUCGAGACUUACACGUCGAUUGUGUCUCGGGACCAUCCCUGUUCUUUCUCAUACAUAUGUAUAUACAUACAUACGUACGUCUGUUCGUUGUUGUCUGUUGCCCCAGCGCACUCGAAGAGAACGCAUAGCCGUCUGGCCCCGGUAAAGGGUCUCUGACCGAUUAUCACUUGGUCUUUAUGGUCUUUGAGGUUCUUUUAAACCUCCGUCCCGUUUCUCCGCUCCUUAACCCUCCCCUCCCCCUUCCUCUUCAUCUUCGUCCCUUCAUCCUUGUCGGCCUUCUCUCGCUCUCUCACAUGCACACACACACACACAUGCACGCACGCACAUGCACGCACGCACGCACGCAUGCAUGUCAGCUCGCGUACGCUUCGCGUUUUUGUCUUUGUUCUUUCAUCGACCGAUUCUCCUUCCUUUCCCUUCGUCUCGUGAUCCAGCGGCAGUUUCUUUUUGUUUUUCUUUUUGUUAGCCACGACCCACAGUGACUGUCUUUUACGUUCGGCAUUGCGAAAAGCGUUCUUUCGCUUUUAUAAUUUUUUAAUUCUAUUUGAAAUUUUUCAAUGGUUUCCAAAUGUGUCUGUAAACAUUUUUUAAAGCUUCGAUAUAACACAAAUCUUACACAAAAUUUAUUUACCCUAGCUGAAAGAAGCUAUUCGGUUGUUCAAGCGGCGAACUAAUACUUUUGUGAUAGAUAGUCAAAGAAUUUAGAAGAAUAUUAUAAAUGAUCGAUGUUAGAAAAAGUCCUUUUUACGCAAUUAAAGUUACAUAGUUUGUUAUGAAUGGUUGGUAACUCAUGUGCUUGGUAUUCAUGUACAUGUGUGCAAUGUGGAAGCUAGCAAGAGAGUUUUUGUCGCCUACCUUGGUAUUUAAAGCAGGUCUUUUCCAAGAUAUUAUAUAGGUUAGUUUGUCGACUUAUAUAGGUCAGUAGUGUCCGCGCGUAUGUAGGUUAAAGCCUUCAUCGCCGAGCUCGAUUCGAGGUAUUCCCGUGGAAUUGUCCUGGAAAAUUUGUGCGCAAAUAAGCGAUAGAGAUUUUUUUUCUUCUAUUUUAGUAUUAAAAGGCGCUUUUCCCCAAGAAAUUAUAUAAGUAAAUGGGCCAAUUCCUUUUCUCAUGAUUUAUAUAGGUUAAUAGUAUAUAGGUUAGGAUCUCGUUUCUCAUCAUAUUCUUUUCUUCUUCGAGAAACUGAUAGAAUCCAUAAUAAAUAUUCCAAAUUAUUUUUUAUAUUCCUUUGAUACCAUUACAUGAGUAUAUGGAUUAACCAUUAAUGAAUUAGAUACAUUUUUUUUCGAGAUUGUCGAGAUUAAUUGGGAAUCUUUUUGACUCGCGAGGUUUAAAAGAUAGAAGAAGGCCUACGUUCGUUUCGCGAUAAUUAAAAGCGCAUAUAUUUCAAUUAUUUUCAUAGAAGUAACAAUAGUCGUGCGUACUCCAUCGUCAUAAUUCGUAUUAAUAAAAUUAUUUAAGAUCGUUUUUCUAUUAAAUUUCAUAUUACAAAAGGCUGAUUUUUAAUAAAAGCUUGAGAAAGUAAUAAUUUAUUUAUUGGAACGUAAUUAUCGAAAGUGGACGUAGUGCGCAUGCCCGGCGUAGUGUUAUCGUUUUGCCGGUAAAAACUACGCCAUCGGUUGGUUUGUGCUAGAGCUCCGCGUAUCGUUCUCAUCAAUUACAGGUAAAUUAGCAUACUUUUUUUCUAACGUACACCUUUUUCCUCCAUAUCUAUCGAUUUCUUAAAACGCUUUUUUUAACACGUAUCGUUAGCAAGUCGGAUCAUCGUCGCAUUUAAGGGUUAUUCGAAAAAAUAAAAUCGGCUUUUUCCCUGUCGUACUUUUACAUCGUACUUUUUUCUCUCUCGAAUAUAUUCUCCUUAUUUUUACGAUAUCGAUACUUUUCUCACCUUUUAACGAUCGAUCAUUUUGCCUUAAUACCACUGCUCGAUCUUUUACGACUUUAUUUAACUCUUAUAUUUUCAACUUCGGAUUUAUCAAUAAUGCAUUGGAGUGAAUUUUAAUGGUAAAUAUAUCGUAGUGAUUAUGAAAUUCGUUAUAUCUACAAGUUAUAGGAAAAAAUUAGAUCGAUUAAUUAUUUCGGAAUAGUUGUGUAAACACUUUUUCGGAAUAAUAAAGGAUCCACGGUUUUUUUUUUGUCAAAUAGGUUAGGAGUAAAGUCGUGAUCGACGAAUUAGUCUACAAUCGACCACAAUCGAAAGAAAGCUCAUCGAAUGCGACUAAUAAUAUUAUACGAUGCCUAGCCUAUAGUUAAUUUAUAUGCGGCAACCUUCACGUAGUUAAUCAUCUGCCUCUGUAUUAUUUGCGAUCUACCGCUAUAAUAUUUCGGUACGUUUAUAAAAUAUCUUUUUCUAAAUGUAUCUACGCACUAUACAACUUAUAUUAAGCGCUAUUAAUUAUACUUAAAGAAAUAUAAUAUUUCUUUAAAUCGAAAUUCGAUCGAAGUAUUUACUAUUCCAAUUAAAUUCAGGAUUCAUCUAUUCUUUAUAAAUUUUGCGUGAUAGAGAUCUUAAAGAGAGGAUUUAGAGGAGAAAGUGAGCGAUGAAUAAUCGUAAGAAUUGUUAUUGUUAUUGGUGUAGGUAUCAACCGUGAAAUUUUAUCCAGUGACCUCGAAGAGGAUGACGCGUGGACCGGCUCGAAAGGUCGUCGAAGGUUGAUAAUAACGGGAAUCGGUUGGACGGUCCUCUCACCACUUAACUGCUGCCUACGUUUCUUUAAAUAGAGCGUAGUUCUCGGGUGACCGUGUCGGUUCCGCGAACUCGCCGGCCGAUUCCAAGUACGUCGUCGCUAUGGAAUGUCGCUGGCUUUGCUAAUACAUUUUUGCAUUUGCUAUCUCUACCAGCACUGAACGAGAAAAGGAAGAGGAAGUGGAAGAGGAAGACUGCUCUCCCACCUUCAACGAGUCGAUUCGCCUCAGGCGUUUCAAUCAACGCGAAUACUUACCGUCGUUGCAUGAGUUGCUUCUCUCCCUCCCUCCCUCCCUCCCUCCCUCCCUCUCGGUCUCUCUCCUCACUAUUCCAAAGAUGACCCCACGAAUGGAAACGUAGACUCGAGACGGAGGUGAUCCUCCUCUUCUUACGAUUACGAGUCCGUACAGCAAGGUCAAAGUACGUUUAUCGGCAAGAGAUAGGAUUUCCUGCUGUCGUCUGCCCAGACGAGGAUUGUAUUGCCAAUAUUUAUUGCAUACAGAGUGUGAAUCGUGUAAUACGAUCAAUUGGGAAUUGUUUUUCCUGAGGAAUUUGCAUCGUCGGUAAAAUUCUUAGAGACUCGCCAAAAGAGAGAAAACCGAUGGAAUCCUUCAAUAAGCAAGAAGUUAUCGAGUCGUGGUACUUUUCGUCCGGUUGAAUUCUCUCUCUCUGUCUCUUAGUCGCAGUGACGUUCUCGUUUUCUAAAGAAGAAAUAAUAGGAGCUGUGACGUCGAUACCACCGGCUCUUAGAAAGGGUAGUAAAGGAGAGGGAGGGAGGCAUUCGAGGGGUGAGAAACAAAGGUUUUCAUCCGUCGAGACCCAUAACCAAGUACGCAUAUCGUGUCGUGCGACUUUUAAUAUAUUCCACAAUUAACCUUACUAAUAAAUUAUUGCUCUACCGACUUCUCGUUGGUAAGAAACCAAUGAGUACAAUCAUAUCACGUGACCCCAAGCCACGUUGGAUUAUCCGACAGUUCGCAGUGCCCUUGAAAGCAGUCAUUUAUAAUAUUUUCUUAGAUAGACGCGUUAGCUGGUCAUGUGUUUCGAUCAAUGAACUUUCCCUAAUGCCUUCUAUGCAUGUAAAUAGUAAGACAUAUAGAAAUCGAGUAACUUGGCGAAGUAAAUAAUGAAAAUAGAGAGCGAGAGAGAGAGAGAGAGAGAGAGAGAGAGAGAGAGAGAGAGAGAGAGAGAGAGAGAGAGAAAACAAGAAAGAAACUAAGGAAGGAAGGAAAAACGAAUCGGGUCGCGUUGGGUCAUUCGCCAGGAAAUCAGUCAACCGGUUUCGUCGUCGUCGUCGUCGUCGUCGUCGUUGAGAGGGAAAGAGACGACGUAGAUGAAGAGGUUGAAACAUAGAGUAAGCAUAGAGAAAGAAGAUGGAGAGGAAAGAGAAGAGAGGAGAGAAUAGGUAUCGGCGUGAGUACUUCUCCCCUCUUUUCGCGUAGCGUCUCUUUUCCUCCUUUUCUCUCUGACUCUUCUCUUUUCUGUUGUUAGUUCCCUUGUCGAGGGAACGAAAAAGAGCGAAAAGCUACGAGGGUUGCCGAGUAAAGACGAGAAGCAACGAGGAGAUACGAGGAAGACCGAGGAGAGUCGCGCACCGCGGCGCUGAACGCAGUGCCAUCCGAUAGGCAGCACCGCUUGCUCCGUGGAUCCUUCGCUUCGCUCGCUCGUACGGAAGCCCUGGUUCUCUCUUCGUGCUCUCCCACCUUUUUUCUCUUUCCCUCUCUCUCUUUUUUUUCCUUCCUUCUCUCUCUCUCUCUGUUUUUAUCAGAGAGAGAGGGAGAGAGAGACGAGCAAGCUUCCUCAUUUCUCGCGUCUCUUUCUCUUUCGAUAGUCGAAGUAAUAUUAUCGUGGGCCUUGGUGCGCCUUUUUGUUGUCGUUCGUUCGUUCGUUGCUCACACGCACGCACGCACGCACGCACGCACGCAUGCACGCACGCAGCGUGAACGAUUUCGCACGAUAAUACACAAAUAUAUACAUAUGUAUAGGAGUAAUACAUAGACGCAGUGAAUCUUACGCGACGCGCGUCUCUCUCUCUCCCUCUCUCUCUCUCUCUUUCUCUCUGUCUUUCUCUCUCUUUGAUCUCUCUUUCGUGGCCUGGAAAACACGGAGAUUCACAUGGUGUGGACGUCAUCGUUGUCAUCGUCGUCAACGUCAUCGUCGCAAUCUAUCUUCCAUCAUCGUGCUGUGAUCGUCGCUGUGUAUCGUUGUUGAUGAUCAUCGCCGUCCGUACCGUUGCGUACACGCACACACAUGUAUUAGGCAUCGUCGACGUGAGGAGAACCACCCCCUCCCCUUGCAGCUCAUCAAGGAGCGGACGCGUGCUGGUCAACACGGUAAAUUCAAUAGAUCCAUAUCCCGAAGGAAACGCGUAUCUCCCGUGCCAUCAGAGAGAAAAGCUUGCAAUAGCAAUUGGCGAGAUAUCGGAAGAAGAGAAGGAAAGAAAGAAGGAAGAAGAGGAAAGAAAAGGAAAGAGGAAAGAAGAAAAAGGAUGCAAAGUAACAGAGGAUCCUUUGGAUUUCUCGAGGAUUAUCGUUCUAUCAUUCUCGAAUGUAUUGAUCGUCUUUGUUCGCGAUGAUGGAGGAAACAAAGCCGAUACUUUUCUUAAUUAUCAGAGAGACCGGAGGACGCAGGUAUUUCGAUAUCGGCUCGGUGAUAGAUAAAUGUCAGUUUUUACUCGGAUAACAAGAUCCUCGGGAAGAGGAAUUGGAAUAAAAAGAAGAGGAAGAAGGGAGAGUCGGUGACGAGUAUUGGA